UAGGCAGCAGUGGGGAAUAUUGCACAAUGGGCGCAAGCCUGAUGCAGCCAUGCCGCGUGUAUGAAGAAGGCCUUCGGGUUGUAAAGUACUUUCAGUCGUGAGGAAGGUGUUAAGGUUAAUAACCUUAGCAAUUGACGUUAGCGACAGAAGAAGCACCGGCUAACUCCGUGCCAGCAGCCGCGGUAAUACGGAGGGUGCGAGCGUUAAUCGGAAUUACUGGGCGUAAAGGGCACGCAGGCGGUUAAUUAAGUUGGAUGUGAAAUCCCCGGGCUUAACCUGGGAAUGGCAUUCAAGACUGGUUAGCUAGAGUCUUGUAGAGGGGGUAGAAUUCCAUGUGUAGCGGUGAAAUGCGUAGAGAUGUGGAGGAAUACCGGUGGCGAAGGCGGCCCCUGGACAAAGACUGACGCUCAUGUGCGAAAGCGUGGGGAGCAAACAGGGAUUAGAUACC
rnacentral:rRNA from 1 species